rnacentral:rRNA from 1 species
GACGAACGCUGGCGGCGUGCUUAACACAUGCAAGUCGAACGGAAAGGCCCUGCUUUUGUGGGGUGCUCGAGUGGCGAACGGGUGAGUAACACGUGAGUAACCUGCCCUUGACUUUGGGAUAACUUCAGGAAACUGGGGCUAAUACCGGAUAGGAGCUCCUGCUGCAUGGUGGGGGUUGGAAAGUUUCGGCGGUUGGGGAUGGACUCGCGGCUUAUCAGCUUGUUGGUGGGGUAGUGGCUUACCAAGGCUUUGACGGGUAGCCGGCCUGAGAGGGUGACCGGCCACAUUGGGACUGAGAUACGGCCCAGACUCCUACGGGAGGCAGCAGUGGGGAAUAUUGCACAAUGGGCGGAAGCCUGAUGCAGCAACGCCGCGUGCGGGAUGACGGCCUUCGGGUUGUAAACCGCUUUCGCCUGUGACGAAGCGUGAGUGACGGUAAUGGGUAAAGAAGCACCGGCUAACUACGUGCCAGCAGCCGCGGUGAUACGUAGGGUGCGAGCGUUGUCCGGAUUUAUUGGGCGUAAAGGGCUCGUAGGUGGUUGAUCGCGUCGGAAGUGUAAUCUUGGGGCUUAACCCUGAGCGUGCUUUCNAUACGGGUUGACUUGAGGAAGGUAGGGGAGAAUGGAAUUCCUGGUGGAGCGGUGGAAUGCGCAGAUAUCAGGAGGAACACCAGUGGCGAAGGCGGUUCUCUGGGCCUUUCCUGACGCUGAGGAGCGAAAGCGUGGGGAGCGAACAGGCUUAGAUACCCUGGUAGUCCACGCUGUAAACGGUGGGUACUAGGUGUGGGGUCCAUUCCACGGGUUCCGUGCCGUAGCUAACGCUUUAAGUACCCCGCCUGGGGAGUACGGCCGCAAGGCUAAAACUCAAAGGAAUUGACGGGGCCCCGCACAAGCGGCGGAGCAUGCGGAUUAAUUCGAUGCAACGCGUAGAACCUUACCUGGGUUUGACAUGGAUCGGGAGUGCUCAGAGAUGGGUGUGCCUCUUUUGGGGUCGGUUCACAGGUGGUGCAUGGCUGUCGUCAGCUCGUGUCGUGAGAUGUUGGGUUAAGUCCCGCAACGAGCGCAACCCUUGUUCACUGUUGCCAGCACGUUAUGGUGGGGACUCAGUGGAGACCGCCGGGGUCAACUCGGAGGAAGGUGGGGAUGACGUCAAGUCAUCAUGCCCCUUAUGUCCAGGGCUUCACGCAUGCUACAAUGGCUGGUACAGAGAGUGGCGAGCCUGUGAGGGUGAGCGAAUCUCGGAAAGCCGGUCUCAGUUCGGAUUGGGGUCUGCAACUCGACCUCAUGAAGUCGGAGUCGCUAGUAAUCGCAGAUCAGCAACGCUGCGGUGAAUACGUUCCCGGG